rnacentral:rRNA from 1 species
AUUGAACGCUGGCGGCAGGCCUAACACAUGCAAGUCGAACGGUAACAGGAAGAAGCUUGCUUCUUUGCUGACGAGUGGCGGACGGGUGAGUAAUGUCUGGGAAACUGCCUGAUGGAGGGGGAUAACUACUGGAAACGGUAGCUAAUACCGCAUAACGUCGCAAGACCAAAGAGGGGGACCUUCGGGCCUCUUGCCAUCGGAUGUGCCCAGAUGGGAUUAGCUAGUAGGUGGGGUAACGGCUCACCUAGGCGACGAUCCCUAGCUGGUCUGAGAGGAUGACCAGCCACACUGGAACUGAGACACGGUCCAGACUCCUACGGGAGGCAGCAGUGGGGAAUAUUGCACAAUGGGCGAAGGCCUGAUGCAGCCAUGCCGCGUGUAUGAAGAAGGCCUGCGGGUUGUAAAGUACUUUCAGCGGGGAGGAAGGGAGUAAAGUUAAUACCUUUGCUCAUUGACGUUACCCGCAGAAGAAGCACCGGCUAACUCCGU